AUGAAUAUCUAACAGAUAUUACCGUGUAUUUCUAAGAUCAUAAUAUUUUUAAUGCGAAUAUAAAUAUGCGAAUAAAAAAGAAAAAUUAUAUGUAAAUAUGCGAUUUUAAAAUGAAGGAAUAAUGCUUAACUUAAGCCGGUUAAUAUAUUAUAAUACGAUUUAUUAUAAUACUUUUUCAUCAUCUAAACACAUAUUAUUAUUGAAAGUGCGAAACAAAACUUCGAACUAAUCAUUGUCCUCAUACACGCUAUAUUCACGUGAUAUUUAUGUGCAUAUGUUUUCUUUUUUUCCUUAUACUGUUAUACAUCAAAUAAUUAAUUAUUUUAAAAUAACUUUGUUAUAUAACUUAACAACUUCGCUGUGUAACUUCGUAAUAUAUCUUUUUACGUAUUUUUAAUGUUGUGCAAUAUAUUUUCUGUAUUCAACGCACACAUAUCUAUCUGUGUAUUUAUGUGUGUGUACGUGCAUAUUUAUGAUUCAUUCGAUUAUUUCAGUCGUCAUUAUUACGCACGAUUCAAAUUAAAAAUAUUUACGGAGAUAUUACGCAGAUAACUUAUAAAAAAUUGCAUUUUGCCGUGUUUAUUCUUUUUACAUACGAUCUACGAACAUUAAAACUUUACGAUAUUCUAUACAGUCUCCUUUUAAAAAUUUUUUAUAAAGAUACAUUAUCAAAGAAAUAAUUCAUAAUACUUUAGUUAGUGAUUAUUUUGUUUGAUAUCGAACCAGGUGUUCAAUCAUUAUCUGAUAGCAUUAACGUUUGAUAAAACUCUGUAUUUUCAGUGAGAAAUAAUAGUAUCACAGAACACAGUUGUAUUGUUAAGUCAACGAUCAUGUGGUUAUUUACGAAUUUUAUAUUACUUCGUUUAUUGAUCAUACAAAUUCUCUUUCAUUUUGGUACCUCGUUCGAUCAUCCAUCGGAGAAUAAUUAUAUUUCAACGAACAAUAUUGAAUGGAGUUGCAAAUCAGACGCAGAAUGUACGGCCAAUGGUAGUAUCUGUAAAGAACAACAAUGUCAAUGUUCACCCGGUUAUGUUUUCAACAAUGAUAUGACCACCUGUCUACGAGUCGCGAAGGGCUAUGGUGACAAAUGCGAGGAAACAAUACAAUGUUCGAGAUAUCUUUUUAUUGGUGGACAGUGCAUUGAAAAUGCAUGCAUCUGCGCACCCGGAUUCCAUUACCUACAUGGUAGAUGUUACAAGACAGUGGAGCUUACUGGGAAAUGUAAAAACGACGAUGAUUGUUACAUAAACUUUGAAUUUGGGUCGACCGUCUGCGAUAAUGGAAUUUGUAAAUGUCGUGAUGGUUUUUACCAACGCGAAUAUCGUUCCUGUCGUAAGAAAGCAAACAUCAACGAAGAAUGUUUAGUCGAUAUCGAUUGCAAAUUUACCAAAGAUGCUUACUGCGUCAAUUUUAAAUGUACUCUUGACGAAAAGAAAACAAAUUAUAAUAUAACAUCGCGAAUUUCCUUCAAUUCCGAUUAUAGAAAAUUUGCCGAUAAAUAUGAUAGAUAUUUAUUAACAAAUAGAGAUACGAUCAAUAAUUCCAUUUCAAUUUAUAUGACAGAAGCAAUUACUGAAUGGAAUGAUUGUACCAAAGAUUCAGAUUGCAAAAUCCAUGAGAAUGCAAUUUGUGAUACAUCAGGAAAAUGUAUUUGCAAACGCGCACACUUUGUACCUUCUACAAGUAAAAAUAAAAUAUGCGUUCCAGAACUUGGACAAAAUUGUAAAAAUAAUGAUUUAGUGAAUAUUAAAAACUCGAUUUGUAAAAAUGGAGUGUGGAAUUGUGCGAAUACAAAACUCGCGUCGAAAAAUAAUCAAGAAUGUCUGAAAGCUACGAGAAAAUACAACUCAUCUUGUCAACGGGACGAACACUGUUCCAUCUUUGGUCCUGACGCGAUUUGUAAACAUAAAAGAUGUCUGUGUAAUGAAGAGAGAUCUCAUUUCAUCGAAGAAUUGCUAUUUUGUUGGUCGAAUAAAGGAAUGAAUGAGAGUUGUAAAACAAACGAGGAUUGUUAUGUUGAGGGAUUGAACGGCACGCUCGUUUGUACGAACAACGUUUGCUAUUGCUCCGAAGGCACACAUUCGAACUCUAACGGAACGGCCUGUAUAAAUAGUAACGCGGAAUUGGGAAUGUUUUGUGAAUACGACGAACAUUGUACGACCUCACAUUCCGUAUGCACAAACAAUGUAUGCACUUGCGAUAAGACAUAUUAUGAGUUAAAGAAAAUGUGCUAUCCAGGUAUAAAUGCAAACUGCACUUUGGAUAAGGACUGUCAACCGAUGUAUUCUUCUUGUUCUUCCGGAGUAUGUACUUGCAAAGAAGGUUACGUUAGCUCUUCGACGUCUACCUGCUUGCCAAAAGCAAAAUACGGGGAAGAAUGUUCGCAUGAUAUUCAAUGUAACGCUGUAACGCCAAAUGCAAUUUGUUCCUGGAAUUCGAGCAACUCUUUGUCGAUUAAAUCUUGCGGCUGUGGCAAAGAUCGUUACUUCAGAUACUCCAGCUGUUUGACAAAGAAACUUCUCGGCGAAUCGUGUAUGUCACGCGGCGAGUGUUACUUAGAUUUCAAUCAGAAUCGAGCAAUUUGCAUGAACGGUCUGUGUACGUGCGACUGGCAAUACGUUCAGGUUAAUGACACCGUAUGCGAGAAGAAUUUGAAAGGUUUUGCUAUACCGGGCGGUGCCAUCGAAACGUUCUCAAGGUCGUCCUUACCAAUCCUGUCGAUCAGUUUGAUACUACUCGACCUAAUUCGAUGAGCUUGAUCGUUCCUCGAGGAGCCUUCAAUUAUUCAAGCACGAAGUGCGAGAGCGUGUUAACGUUGAUCGACAAGGGACUUACAAGCGAAUUAGCCGACAGAAUCGAUAGUCAUAGAUAGAUCGAUCCGAGAAAACCUGCGUAUUUACUUAGAGUCCCUUGGGAUUUUGUUUCGAUAAGACGAAAUAAAGGCUCGACACGCAAAUCGCGUUACUAUCGUUUGCGAGCAACGCUCUCCUCUGGUCACUGUGAACUCACUCGAUGACGUAGUAAGAUGACCUAACUUUAAAACGUGAUAUCUAAUCGUGACGUCACUCUUAACAAGGGAGACAAUGAAUACCUAAGGAGACGAAGAGAAAAAGAGAGGAACGGGUCAAGGCGUUCUCGAAUUCGCUCAUAUCUUUUACGUUCCCUUCUAGUUUUUGAUAGAUCGAAUCACUGAAAAUCCUUUCGAAGUUACAACAAGAAAAAAAGGGGUCUAAUAGAGAUAACGAUCUUAUAUAAAAUGUUUCGCGAAGAGUAGACGGAGGACGUUUGUGUCGUGCGUCGAUUAUCUAAAUUACAUCUUGAGAUUGAACGAGAGUGUUCAUGUACAAUAUUUGUA